UAUACUAAUCUUCCAUAUAUAAUAUAAAAUAAAAAAUGUUAUAUCAAUUUAAUAAUAUAAAGACCUAAGCUUAAAGUAAAAGAAAGAUGAUUCAAUUAAAAUCAAAAAAUGCCACCAUUCCAACCUUUUGCUUUUGUAAUAUCCAUCUAAUUAGAUGAUCUAAAUUAAUGUCAUGUCAAUUUUUAAUAAAGUUGAUUCACUAUCAAUUCCAAAUAUAAUCUCCUAAUUUAAGCCAUGACCUUAAUAACCUUUAAAUUAUCACUUAUAUCUUCAAAGAAUUGUUUUUUAUAUUCAAAUAAUUAUUUGAAUAAUUAUAAAAACAUAAUAAUCUAAAUUUACACCUGAUUAUGAUGAAUGCAAUAAAUUAAAUAAUACAAAGCAAAGAUUCUAUAAUAUAAGAUAUAUGUUUUACAAACAGUACUAUAUAUAGAAAAUGUUUUAUAAACUAUGCAAUGUGCUGCAUAUAGAUUUUGUAUGAUAAGAUCUACAAAUUCUUUGAGGCAUAAAGAUGAAAUUAAAAUCCUCUAUGCCUAUGCACCUACCUAAAACGAACCUAUUUGACAACCUACUUGAAGCUCUCUUCAUGUACAUCUAUUUGCACUAUAUAAACUCAAAAUUUUAAAAAUUUAUUAAGCAAUUCUCACCACUCUAUAAGCCACAAACGUAAACAAAGUGAUAAGAGAUGAUUUACCUUCAAAGACGCACCUUGUACGGGAAUCAUGGUAGAGUGCUUUGACUACAAAACAAAGUAAGAUGUAAUUGCCACCUCCAUCGAUAUUAUUUUGCAGGUAGCAUCACAGUUGUCUAUCCAUCAAGAGCAAAAUUUAACGACCAACACUUUUAGCGCUCAUCCAUAAUUAACACGUUGUUCAGUGCUCUCUGCAACAUAUAACCACAAGCCUUGGCAUAGAAAUUGAGGCUUACGCGCCACAACAGCUCCAACUUCUAGAAUAUUGCCUCAAAUCCCACCAAUUGCUUCACAUC
rnacentral:lncRNA from 1 species